CGCGCGGCAUCCCCGAGAUCGACGCCCGCCGCCUGGUGGUCCGCGGCUUCUUCGCCGAACUGGUCCAGCAGAU
rnacentral:tRNA from 1 species